GCUCUGAACAAGCAGAUAGGUCGGUAAUGCUGUGCUCGCAAGAAGAUCGAGAAAAAGUCAGCACAAUGGCAAGUUUAAGACGGAUUUGUAGAGUGUUUUUGAGCUAUGCAAUUAGUUGAUGGGUAAACACUGACCUGAUGUCUGAUAUUCAAGCGUCUCAACUCCGAUGACUAAAACAGGCAACGUUGAGUGAAUGAAACAGGAAGCAGGCCUAACGUCCCACGUGGGUUAAGAGACCGAAGUUCUGAAAGAUGGAUGAGCUCUUCAGUAUCCCUGUGCCAUUGCAUCAAAUCUUGAUGUCGAAAGGCUGGAAAGAACGUUGCUCUGGCUGAGGCAUGCAGUGGUAGGUGCAUUUCAUGGACGAUAUGGACAGCAUCAGGGUGAAAUUGGUUGUCCAUAGCAGCUAAUAACCAAAGAGGACAGUGAUGUGCCACACCCGCAUGGGAUUCAACAAGCCAUGAUGGUUGAACUACUUGGAGGGCAUCCAGAGAAACGGGGUGAAAAAUGAAUAGUCUACAGCUGCUAAAGACCAAAGACAAGAUGUCUCACCAGCAUGCAAAUCAACAAACAACCGGGUGAGCCUGGUGAUGUCCUGGACCAAAGAAAUAAAUAUCUUGCAAUACAAUAAAGAAUUGUCCAAGAAAUGCCUUUGUAAUUAUUUGAAAUUUGUGUUGAAGUCUGGGCGCUGUGCAGAGAUGGGGAUCCGUAAAGUUGAACUAAAGUACAGUUCAUUCAUUACUUAGGGAUUCUCACAUCAGAACUGUCAGAUGAUCCUCUUUGUGGCCUCACAACU